CUACAAAUAGUUCAAUCAUUCCGUAGCAUUCAAACGGAAUUAAACCAGUGAAAAUGAUUAAGAAAAUCAGUUUGAUUUCGGUGGUAGUACUGUUGUUAUCGAUGUACACCGCUGUUUAUGCAAAUGGCAACUGCAACAUGGCCGCAGUAAGUCCACCAAACAAUGCACUACCAUCAACUUGUAUGGCCACCGUUGCAGGAUGCCAAUGGUUGAAUGGUAGUAUGGAACCAAACGGAAAAUGUGCCGAAGCUGGAUACAUAUGUUGUGUCUUCCGUUGUGAAAGUGACGAUGAGUGUUAAUGUCAAUUAAGUUCAUAAUUUUUGCAGACGAAUAAAUGUCAAUUUCAAAUUUGUGUUCACAUUA